CCUACGGGAGGCAGCAGUGGGGGAUAUUGGACAAUGGGGGGAACCCUGAUCCAGCGACGCCGCGUGAGUGAAGAAGUAUCUCGGUAUGUAAAGCUCUAUCAGCAGUGAAGAUGAAAUGACGAUCCCUGAGUAAGAAACCCCGGCUAACUACGUGCCAGCAGCCGCGGUCAUACGUAGGGGGCAAGCUUUAUCCGGACUUACGGGGUGUAAAGGGAGCGUAGACGGUGAUGUAAGUCUGGAGUGAAAAGCGGGGGCCCAACCCCCGGACUGCUCUGGAAACUAUGUGACUGGAGUGCAGGAGAGGUGAGCGGAAUUCCUGGUGUAGCGGUGAAAUGCGUAGAGAUUAGGAGGAACACUAGUGGCGAAGGCGGCUCACUGGACUGUAACUGACGUUGAGGCGCGAAAGCGUGGGGAGCAAACAGGAUUAGAUACCCGAGUAGUC
rnacentral:rRNA from 1 species